GACGAACGCUGGCGGCGCGCCUAACACAUGCAAGUCGAGCGGGAAGCUUUUUUAAGGAUUCUUCGGAUGGAAUUAAAAGUGGAGAGCGGCGGACGGGUGAGUAACGCGUGAGAAACCUGCCCUAUACAGGGGGAUAGCCAUUGGAAACGAUGAUUAAUACCCCAUAUGACCACAGUAUCGCAUGAUACAGCGGUGAAAACUCCGGUGGUAUAGGAUGGUCUCGCGUCUGAUUAGCUAGUUGGUGGGGUAACGCUACCAAGGCGACGAUCAGUAGCCGGCCUGAGAGGGUGACCGGCCACACUGGAACUGAGACACGGUCCAGACUCCUACGGGAGCAGCAGUGGGAAUAUUGCACAAUGGGCGAAAGCCUGAUGCAGCGACGCCGCGUGAACGAUGAAGGCUUUUUCGAGUUCGUAAAAGUUCUGUUCUUGGGGGAAGAGUAACGACGGUACCCAAGGAGAAAGCACCGGCUAAA
rnacentral:rRNA from 1 species